CUGGGAGCUUGAGGCCACUGGGGGGCCACUGCCUCUUGCGCAUGCACCUGGAUCAGCUGGUCCUGAGUGUCUGACCACAGGAUGGCUGGCUGCUUCUUCCUGGAGGCCUUCCCUGACCACUCUUCAAGGUUCGAGACUGAAGCAGCCCCACAGCACGUCCAUCAGCAGCAGUCCACAAGGGCUCCAGCCAGGUUUACUGCUUGUCACACUGAGUGUGGGUGGCAGGCCCCCAGGGUGCUCCCCAGGGAGGUCACAUGCUCCUUAAAGCUUUGCUUCCUGCCCAGUGUCUCCCCCCCGCCUUGCUGGAGCCCUCUGUUGUGCAUGAGCAUGAAUUAUGGGAAGUAUCUUGUCACUCGUGUAAUGUCACGUUGGGAAAGAAUGCUGUAACCAGGCUGAGAAAUGCUCUUUAGGGGUCACACCGUAGACAUGGAAAUACAUUCAAGGGGCCUUUUGGUUCCUGGCUCUUGCCCACUAUGGUCCAGGCAGCUCCAAGCGUACACAGCCUGAUCCUAUCCUUUGCAUUCUCACUGACAUUUCAACAAUGAGGAAAUUAAGGCUCAGAUAUGUUAAGUAACUUGCUGGAGGCCACACACUAGGUGACAAACAUGGGUUGAGCAACUGCUGUCUGCUGAAUCAGCAUGUCUUACAAUGUCCUGGCGCAGAGAAGCCGAGAAGCCUGGCGACUG